rnacentral:rRNA from 1 species
UACGUAGGGGGCAAGCGUUGUCCGGAAUCACUGGGCGUAAAGGGUGCGUAGGCGGGUCUUUAAGUCAGGGGGGAAAUCCUGGAGCUCAACUCCAGAACUGCCUUUGAUACUGAAGAUCUUGAGUUCGGGAGAGGUGAGUGGAACUGCGAGUGUAGAGGUGAAAUUCGUAGAUAUUCGCAAGAACACCAGUGGCGAAGGCGGCUCACUGGCCCGAUACUGACGCUGAGGCACGAAAGCGUGGGGAGCAAACAGG